UACGUAGGGUGCAAGCGUUAAUCGGAAUUACUGGGCGUAAAGCGUGCGCAGGCGGUUUUGUAAGUCUGUCGUGAAAUCCCCGGGCUCAACCUGGGAAUUGCGAUGGAGACUGCAAGGCUAGAAUCUGGCAGAGGGGGGUAGAAUUCCACGUGUAGCAGUGAAAUGCGUAGAGAUGUGGAGGAACACCGAUGGCGAAGGCAGCCCCCUGGGUCAAGAUUGACGCUCAUGCACGAAAGCGUGGGGAGCAACAAGG
rnacentral:rRNA from 1 species